GCCGCGCGGUCGUGCGAUGAGUCUGCGUCGGGGAGCGAGGCUACCGGUCUGGAGGCGAGCUUUGCGGCAGAGAGCGAGAAGCGCGCGCCAGUGGGGGAGCGAGACUGCGGAGAUAUAACCGCCCGUGACGGCGGGGUGCUAGGUGACGAAGAUCUGCGAAGGAUUUUGACGAUGUCGAUUUACAGAGUUCGGUGGGGAUUUAUCUGGCUGUGACUAUGUGCCGUCCGUUUUUGUGUCUGCAUGCCGCGUACUGCUGGUUCAAACAAUAGGGAAGUAGAUCUCGUCUAAAUGUUCAUGGUGUCCAUGAUGUAUACUAUUUCAUCUCCCUGUAACAAUUUUCUCUUUUUUUUUUUUGUGAGGAACACCAAGUUUUCCAUUUACUACAACACGCUGGCAGAGCCGCCAUCUACAGAGGUUGUUACAAAUUAAGGGAACUGGCUGACCCAUGUUUCAAACUAGCCAGGCGGUAACCCAACUCCGCGCGCAGCUAAAGUUUCCGCUGCCAUAUGAAAUGAUCUUGGCAAGCAUAGAGUUUUACAACAUCAAAAGCUACAGUUUUAACUGAAGCCUAAUUUCCUCGAACAGAUCCCCUAGCAAUGCAAGAUUGUAAUCUUUAGUUGAAACAGCCAGCUUCAGCACCUUGGAGUCAGUCUCUAGGAUCACGCGAUUGUAUCCCAUUCUCGCUGUGGCAGUUGUUGCAUUCAACAUGGCGAGGGCUUCAACGUUAAGGGGUGUUGGAAACAUGCUCCAGCUUCCCUGCUACCGUAGCAAGUAGAUUACCAUCAUCAUUUCUAAUUGUGAAACCCCAUCCACCUGAGUGUGUUGUUUCAUGAUAAGCACCAUCUAUGUUUAUUUUCAGAAACUCGCGUUGGGGAGGAGACCAUCUCUGAUUAGUUGCUUGCUUCUGGGUCAUCCUCCUAUGCUUGAUAUUCCUGAAUUCAACAACGUGGUAGUUCAUAGAAGAUAAAUUACCUUCAGGGGCUCUCAUUUCAUCACCUGCAUUUGCUUUAUUUCUUUCAUGCCACUUUAUCCUGAAUAAUAUGCGUACCUUUAUGCAUUCCUGUUCAUCCAGCUGGAACACUACUUAAAAAAUGCUGAGGGCAUCAGGGCAUUGAACAACCUUUAGUCUAACCCGUUCCAAUUGAGCUAUUCUCCAUAUAUUCUUUACCUUCUUGCAUUUCAAAAACAAGUGUCCUCCGACUUGAUCAAAUCGGUAGCAUACAGGAUAUCGGAUGUCUAUAUCCAUAUAUACCUCUACGCUUCAGCCUUGUACUAAGUGGUAAGCUGUACGUAGCCAAUCUCCAUAGGAAGUGCAGCACCUUGGUUGGCAGUGGUAAGGCCAUUUUUUUCCAGUUAAAAUCUGACACUUCCCCUUUGCCUGCCAAUCUAGAUGUCUGGCCAUGUGUUGAUUCACGUCCUGCACAGUCCACUGCUAACUUAUAUGCAUUGCUAGUUGGCAUUUACGGUAGCAUUGGAUUUCCUUGCAAAAAAUUGGUUCAAGCUUGGAUUUCAUUUAUAAGCUCAUCAAAGAGAAAUUAAACAAAUCUGUUUACACCUCACCAUAGCAUACAAACGCUCGAGUACUCGAUGCUACAAAUCAGUGUAAUACUGUAAUGUGGCACUGAGUGCUGCUAUUGAUAUGUGAUCUUUACCUUCAGAGCUAGCUUCAAUCGUUGCAGUGCUUGUUGUGUUUUGGGAGCCUAUUUUGUACUGUUAGUGAUUCUGCAGCUAUAGUACUUCUUACUACUGAUGUGUUGCUAUUUUCUGAGUGAGAAAUAUAUCAGUAUAUAUAAGUUGUCUUGUCACCUUAAUUAAGUUGCUUUUAGCAUAGAACUAAAUUGAUUAGUCAGAUUAGCCUAAGUUGAAUGCCUCUAGUGCUCCUACUACUCCACCCUUCCCCACCCCUCUAGUGCUCCUACUACUUCACCCCGAAGACCCCCUCCUUUAACCUCGAGCCCCAGAUUGGCCAUGCUGCCUCGGCCUCCCCUGGUUGCAUGUGCUGCCUCGGCUGUAUAGUCUUGUGGCGCUGAUGUUGGCCUAGGCUAGCAGUGGUCUCACGUCCGCGGGAUGCUGAGAUGACACCUUGGUCACCGAUAACACCCAUUCAAGGUUGGCACGACAAUUCUCUAAAGAGUCUGCACCGGCCAGAAGACUGAUAUAUCUCUAAUGAGUAAGUUGGUUGUGUAUUGCAACAUAUUUGGGUGUGCACUAGGUGUUCGUUGAAUUAUUUUCGGGGGCCUAAUAGUCUGGAUGCCUACUAUUUAGCACCUUGUUGAGUUGUUGUGCUAGUGUCAUUGGUCUACGAAUACGGCAUAUUUGGUUUGGACGAGUCAGUGAUACUUCAUAUGGUUAGUGUUUUUAUAUUCUGGCCAUCUUGGGAUGGUUAAACUAGGGAGAUCCAUAACCACGAAGAUUUUUCAAUGCAGAGAAAUAAACGAGUCUAAUAGUUCUGUGAUGGAGCAAUCCGAACCUGCCUCCCCCUGGCUUGAUCUACUUCCCUAUCAUGCAGUUGCGACCUUCUUUGGCGUGAGGCGUAUUUGUAUAAGUGCAGAUGGCCAUGCUUGGGAUAAGUUUGCCGGACAAGCAGUUAUUAGGUUGUUCUUCCUGGAACUAAAUCUUACGCAAAAACAGUUUAAAGGAGAUCUGCUAGAGAGUGCUACGAGGAGGCGUCACGUGGUCCAGGACGUGGGCGAACGUACUAAUCAGGAACUCAGGAGCGUGCGGGGCCAAGUGGCUGGUGGCGUGUGUUGUAUUUUAUUGACUGAGUGCUGGGUUGGACCAGCUAGCACUCGGAUGCUAGGUUGGACAAAACAGCACCCGGAUGCUAGGUUGGACAUACCAGCACCGGAUGCUAGCUAGCCGCGUCC